AGAGAAGCGUCUCCCUAUUAGAAAUCGUUACUAUUCUCUAAUGAGUCAAUGGCUAUGAGUGUGAUUCUCAAAAAAGCCUAAGGCUUUCGAUGCUACCAUGCAUAUAUGUUUCAUCUUAUUUGGAAUAUUUACUGGCUUUUUAAGUUUAUAUUUUGGAUAUAAAUUGAAGAUUUGAUUGGUACGUGAACAAAUGUCAUAUAGCCGGCGCAGUAAGACGUGUUUUAACUUUUAACGGUUAGGAAAAACAGAUGCGGUUAGAAACAUAUACAUUGUUUUAAACAAAAGCACGGGAUUUAUUUCUUAAAAAAAAGUUUAUAAGAAACAAAAUUUGAUGAUUAUAAAAUUAUGUGUCUAAAGUUUGUAACUUAUAAUACAUUUAUUGUUGUGUUGACUUGAUCCGUAUCUAUACGAUAUAAUCGUUAAAUCCGGUGAUCCGUAUAUAAACCACCACUAUUUAAAAAUCCGAUAAAUUUUGGGUUAAAUUUAAAUCCUGUUAUUAACCUAUCACUUGACACUGAUUGACUCGUGAAACUAAGAUAUAUAUCCAAUGAUAUAUAAAAAAACAUUAACUUAAAUAAACUAUUUAUGAUUUUUUAUUUAAAAUUUAAUUACUAUAAAUCAUUAAAAAUAAAGAAGACCAAAAUAUAGUGAUAGGUUUUCAUUAUUGAUAAUUUAUUAUAAAUUUAUUUUUUUAAUUUUAAUGGAAAGGAUGAAAUAAAAAAAACAAUAAAUGUUUUUUGUUUAUUGGGAUUAAUCAUUACUACUAUUUUAGUCAUCAGAUUCAUGAGACACUGUUAGAGUAGGGAAGAUGAUAUGUUUUUAUAGUAUACUUAUAUGAGUUAAUAUAAUAGAGUUAUGUAUGUAUAAAAAUUUGGUAUAACAAAAAUAUAGUAUAGAUGGUAAAAGUAACGUAUGUAUAGUUAGAGAGAAUUAACUAUUGUUAGUAUAGUUAGAGAAAUAAUAGAAAAUAUAAUGUAGGACCAAAAAUUUAAUUGGUUAAAGAAUAGGUUCAAUAACGUUUUGUAAGUAGAUUAUUAGGAUGAUUUUCUUUUAAUAGUAUAGAUUGUCAUUAAGAUAAAUUUUAAAAAUAAUGAAUAAUAGCUGAAAAUAUUUUUUCAUUAAUUUAAUAGAAAAAAAUCUUUAUUAAAAAGUAAAUAUGGCUUGACGCAGAAAAUAAGCAGACUUAGCUAUCUAAAUUAUUACAAGCUAUCAAAUUUAUCUAUGAUGUUUAACUUUUUUCCACCCGGAUUUUUCCGCAUGUUUGAUUGGCGGGUAUUGCAUAUCUAAACGAUACUAGAGCUUGACAUGCGCACCCGCGCAUGUAUUAUUUUUACUUAUAAAAAAAUAUUUAUCUUAUAUAAAUCGUAGUAUAUAUUUUUAAAAUUUAUUUGUAUUAAUAACUGUUUAAUAUAUUUCUAAACACAAUACUUUUAUAAUUUAUAAUAAAUAAUUUUAUUUUAUUUUUGAUCCGUCAAUUGUAUCAUCCACAUUUUAAUAAUAUGACCCGUGUGUUCGUGCAAAUGUAUUCUUUAUGGUUCAAAAUUUUAAUGUAAAACAAAUUGUUAUCAAUGGCUAUAUUUGAUUUAUUAGAUCAAAUAAUUCAAUAUAUUAUUUACAAUUUUGUGUUUCAUAUUAUGUAUCUUUAUAAUACUUUCUUCUGUCUUUUUUGACAUAGUUAAUAUACGAAAAGAUAAACAAACAACUCAUAAUAAUAGACAUAUGAUUACAUUUUUGAAAUUGAUUAAUUAUAAUUUAUUAUCUAGCUAGAUUAUAGAAAAUAUUCAUUAACUAAAUUGUACUUAAUUUACUGUACUUCAAUUUAGGAAAAUGCAUUAACUGAACUGUAAAAGACAAGAAUAUUAUAAGGUAAAUAAAUUUAUUACUUCAGUGGCAUAUAAUUGUAAAUAAGUUAAAAAAAUGAAGGGGUAAUUUAGUUUUUUACUCCUCUUUUAAUAAUAUAGAUGGUUUUAGCUAUCAUACAAAAAAUCAAAUAUAUGGUUUAAAUUAUUUGGAAUAUACUCAAAUCGUUUUAUGAACUUUGCAAUAGCUCAAAUAUCAUAUGUACUUAGCAAAAAGUACUUAUGGCUCAAGAUAAAUCAUCAAACUACGUACAGCCACUUGAUGUGUUAUCUAUCUUAUUAUGAUUAGUUUUUAAUCACUUAUUUUAUCAAGAGUAUAUUAUAAUUCCAUUUGAAAGAAAGAGAAAAGAGAGGCUAAAGGAGAAAAGAGGAGGAUAUAAAGCAUUAGAGUCGAGAGAGCAAAAGGGAAUAUAUGGAAACUUGUUAUAAAGAACAAACGGGUAAGAAAAAGCUUUACAUUAUUUUUAUUAAAGCGAUAUGUUGUUUUAAUUCCAGAUUCCGCUUUUUGUUGGUUCACCACUUCUCAUAGCUCAUACUUUCGUGAAUUUAGUUUAAAGUUUUGUUACUAAAAUAUGUUUCCUAGCUGUGCUACUGCUAUAUAUACUGAAUAAAUUAAGCUGUUGACAGAACAUAGUUUUAAGCUAAUAUUUCUUGUUCGAACAUUUGUUAAGAGAAAAAAACAUGUUUAAGUUAUGUAUGGAAUCACCAUGGCCAUAUAUGAAAGGAAUCAAUAGUAAACAUUUGGAACAUUUACGGUAAUUCAGAGUCGUUGCCUAACUAGAAAUAUUCUUCCACCACCUACAUGUUUUUAAUUAAAUUGAAAAAAAAUACUGAGAUUCAGAAUAAAUCAAUGAAGCAUAUACCAGGCAACAAGAUUUUUUUAUUUGUAGUCGCACGAGAGUGAGAGGUAACGAUUGAUCACUUAUUUUCUAAAGCGAAUUAAAAUAAAGAUGACUAAUUAUUCUAAAAUUUAGUGGAUGCAAAAGAGAAAAAGAAGGGGAACAUCUGAUUUAACUGACUACCAUAAACUAGGACAGAUAUUCACAUAAAUUAACAAUACUGAAAGAGACCUGAGAGUCGCAGAAUCUUCCCACCGGGCUUUAGUGAAGUGGCCAGGAAGGUAAAAGAUUCUUGCUUAGAAAUAUCGUAAACAUUUUUUAUCACAUUUUCUCGCUCGCGUUCUUUUAUAUCUCCCCCAUAUAUUGCAUUGUCUUUCAAAUGUAAUUCUUAUCUAGGUUCGAUUAAAAACAAUGAACUAAUUUGACAUACCUAAAAGAGUUAGCUUAUAGCUAUAUAUAUAUAUUUUUUUUUGAACUUAGCUUAUAGCUAUAUUCUUAUGAAACAAUGAAUAACUAGAUUUUUGGACAUCUAUGAAUUAAUUAGAAGAUAUGAAUUGAAAAGAUUUAUAAUAUACUUUAUACAUAUAUGUUAUUUCAAGAUUUUAAUUAUGAAAAGAUCAAAAGUGUUUUUUGAAAUAUCGAAUAAAAUAAAACAUAAGACUCAAUUUUCAUUGUGUAAAUAGUGAAACUUAAACUAUUUUUGCUGUUGUUAAUCUGAUCAAGUUUAAACUGAAAGAAGUUAAUUGGUUUGCUCUAUCUGGAGAAAUCAGUUUGCAAAAGUUACAUCAGGAAACAAAGUUCUUUACCAAACAAUUCGUGUGAGAGAAUUCACCUACAAAUGGAAUCAAAGGUAGUGAAAAAAAAAUCAUAUAUAUCCAGGAUUAAACAUGAGUCAUCCGAGAGAUUAACUGGAAAAGGCUGGAAGGGCCGAGACAUCUUGAAUCUAGACAUGUACUGCAUACUAAUAAUUUUUAUUGCUUGAUAUAGAUUCUAAACUUUCAUAUUCAACUAUUUUAUAUAUAAUGUUGACAAAAAACUAUUUAUUUUCACAGUUUAAUCUUAUUUAGUGAUUAAGUAGCCCAUUGGCAUCUAAUCCCACAUCAAAUCUUUUUUUUUUGACUGAACACAUCAAAUCUUCGAACAGCCGACAUGCAUAUCCUUACAUUUUGGAUAUCCCCUUCAAACAUUUCAUAUAUUUCUUCAAAUUUCUUCAAAUAUAUUUAUAUGGUAUACCGUAUAUUAGUCUAUUAAUGUAUAUGUUCCUAACUUCCUAUUUACUUAUCAUUAUCCUUUGUUUAUCUAUUUUUAGUUAUCCAAAACUUAGAAACCUUUAAUUACUAAAUUUAAAUCCAGAACUAACAGUUAGUUAUUUAUAUCAAUAUCAUUCAUGCCCUAGGGUUUAAGCAGUGAGUAGAAGUUCAAUCUCAUUAAUAAUCAGAGAUGUAGUAAAACAAAACUUUGCAGACAGAACCGAUCCGGUUCAGCUAAAGUCAGUUUCUUAAGUGUUAAAAUACUCAGGAUUUUUUCCGGUAUUGUCUGUACUGGAGAAUUUCUGUCAAGAAAUUGUAAUCGAAUUCUAACAAAUAAAUUUCUUUUUUUCACACAUAACGUGUCGAUCUGCAACACUAUAUAUAGGACCAGAGCAAACCUGAAUCCUGAAACAAUGAAGUCUAGAUCAGUUCGGGUGGGGAAACCACACGUAAUAGAUAAUCCCAUAUCUCUAGUUGUGUAACCAAACAAAUUGAGACAUGAAAACAAUAUAAAAAUAUAACGUUUUCAAGAAAAUUAUUUUAAAAUACAACAUAUUGAUGAAAAAGUCUGAUAGAAUACAAAUCUAUCCAUAAAUAUUCUUGCUAUCCUAAUUUCUAAAUCACAAAACCAAAAUUUACAAUAUUUAUCUAAUGAAUGAAAACUUUCCAAAAAAUACAGUUUUUAAGAAAACUAUUUAAAAAUACAAAAUAUUGAUGAAAAUUUCUUAAAGAAUACUCAUCUAUCCAAAAAUAUUCUUGUUAUCCUAAUUUCUAAAUCACAAUACUCAAAUGUACAAUAUUUCUC